CCAUACCUACUCCCGAUUUGUACUCUAAACCAAAUCACGGCACCAUCACGGUGGCGAUUGGAUCUGAGCUCUGGUCUUCGUCCGUGCUCACGGUGUCAUCGCGGCGUCAACACAUAGAAGCACGCCCGCACAGAGAAUAUCUCAGGGCACAAGGAUGAAUUCAAUGGAGGAUACUGCUGUAAGGAAAGGCUCUAUUGUUUUUACAAGGACAGAAAGUAUAAAAGAAUACAUAAACAAGCAUGGACAACCCAGAUCUGGACCCAAAGAAUUAGCUGGACAGGGUUGAAGUAUUGGGAAAACGCAUAUAUUUUAGAGAUUUCAACCACCAUGGUAGCAAUGGACUCAAACUCUGGCCACAUUUUACUUGAGUUGCAUUUGAUGGAUAUUUCCUAUGAGAAUCAUGAUUUGUAUGGACGUACAUAUUAUACCUAUGGAUUUGAAUUUUGUAAUUCAGUGGCUGUAUUUUUUUUA